AUUGAACGCUGGCGGCAGGCCUAACACAUGCAAGUCGAGCGGAUGAGGGUAGCUUGCUAUCUGAUUCAGCGGCGGACGGGUGAGUAAUGCCUAGGAAUCUGCCUGGUAGUGGGGGACAACGUUUCGAAAGGAACGCUAAUACCGCAUACGUCCUACGGGAGAAAGUGGGGGAUCUUCGGACCUCACGCUAUCAGAUGAGCCUAGGUACGAUUAGCUAGUUGGUGAGGUAAAGGCUCACCAAGGCGACGAUCGUUAACUGGUCUGAGAGGAUGAUCAGUCACACUGGAACUGAGACACGGCCCAAACUCCUACGGGAGGCAGCAGUGGGGAAUAUUGGACAAUGGGCGAAAGCCUGAUCCAGCCAUGCCGCGUGUGUGAAGAAGGUCUUCGGAUUGUAAAGCACUUUAAGUUGGGAGGAAGGGCAGUAAGUUAAUACCUUGCUGUUUUGACGUUACCGACAGAAUAAGCACCGGCUAACUUCGUGCCAGCCGCCGCGGUAAAAC
rnacentral:rRNA from 1 species